rnacentral:misc_RNA from 1 species
UGUCGCUGUUCUAUUCUAAAGCUAUAUGCGUCUACGUUCUAUGGAUCUGAAUAAAAAUAAUCAAAUAUAUAUAUAUAUUUCAUUGUCGAAGAACGGGAACUCCUGAUACUACAAUCAACGGAGUUGUUUAAAUUGGAGAAGACAUAUAGAGAGAGAGAGAGGUACAACAAAAUUAAAUUGAUUAUCUCCGAUUUACCUGGAAAUGUGUGCGUGCGACG